rnacentral:rRNA from 1 species
AGAGUUUGAUCAUGGCUCAGGAUUAACGCUGGCGGUAUGCCUAACACAUGCAAGUCGAACGGAAUACUAAUUAAGAGAAUCUCACACUAGUGAGAGGUUCUCACGAGUAGUAUUUAGUGGCGACGGGUGAGUAACACGUUGGAACCUGCCCCGAAGUGGGGAAUAACUGCUCGAAAGAGUAGCUAAUACCCCAUAGUAUCCGGGUUUAUCCGGGAUUAAAGAUUUAUCGCUUCGGGAGGGGCCUGCGUCUGAUUAGCUAGUUGGUGAGGUAAAAGCUCACCAAGGCGACGAUCAGUAGCUGGUUCGAGAGGAUGACCAGCCACACUGGGACUGAGAUACGGCCCAGACUCCUACGGGAGGCAGCAGUGAGGAAUCUUCCACAAUGGGCGCAAGCCUGAUGGAGCAAUACCGCGUGCAGGAAGACGCUUUUCGGAGUGUAAACUGCUUUUGUCGUCGAAGAUUAUGACUGUAGACGAAGAAUAAGGACCGGCUAACUACGUG